rnacentral:rRNA from 1 species
CCUACGGGAGGCAGCAGUGGGGAAUUUUGGACAAUGGGCGCAAGCCUGAUCCAGCAAUGCCGCGUGCAGGAUGAAGGCCUUCGGGUUGUAAACUGCUUUUGUACGGAACGAAAAGGUCUCUUUUAAUAAAGGGGGCCCAUGACGGUACCGUAAGAAUAAGCACCGGCUAACUACGCGCCAGCAGCCGCGGUAAUACGUAGGGUGCGAGCGUUAAUCGGAAUUACUGGGCGUAAAGCGUGCGCAGGCGGUGAUGUAAGACAGAUGUGAAAUCCCCGGGCUCAACCUGGGACCUGCAUUUGUGACUGCAUCGCUAGAGUACGGCAGAGGGGGAUGGAAUUCCGCGUGUAGCAGUGAAAUGCGUAGAUAUGCGGAGGAACACCGAUGGCGAAGGCAAUCCCCUGGGCCUGUACUGACGCUCAUGCACGAAAGCGUGGGGAGCAAACAGGAUUAGAUACCCUGGUAGUCCACGCCCUAAACGAUGUCAACUGGUUGUUGGGUCUUCACUGACUCAGUAACGAGCUAACGCGUGAAGUUGACCGCCGGUGGUAGGUACGCGCGUAGUUAGAACGUAGAAGAGUUAGAGACGNGAGAGNGCGACGACGACGACGAGGAGGAGG